GGGGGUGUAGCUCAGUGGUAGAGCGCGUGCUUAGCAUGUUCGAGGCCCCGGGUUCAAUCCCCGGCACCUCCA
rnacentral:tRNA from 1 species